UACGAAGGGGGCUAGCGUUGCUCGGAAUCACUGGGCGUAAAGGGUGCGUAGGCGGUUCUUUAAGUCAGGGGUGAAAUCCUGGAGCUCAACUCCAGAACUGCCUUUGAUACUGAAGAUCUUGAGUUCGGGAGAGGUGAGUGGAACUGCGAGUGUAGAGGUGAAAUUCGUAGAUAUUCGCAAGAACACCAGUGGCGAAGGCGGCUCACUGGCCCGAUACUGACGCUGAAGCACGAAAGCGUGGGGAGCAAACAGG
rnacentral:rRNA from 1 species